GUUAGGUAGAGGUCACACGUCAUGCUCUUGGCAUGAAAUUCUGGCAUUUUGUGGAGUUUUUAAAUCUACGGCAUUUAAUUCUAGUAGGCGAAAUGCUAACGGUUAAUACCGCGUUAAAAAUGAAAAAUUAAGUGGUUUUUUCACCGGCGCGCGUGUGUCGCAGACCACCAAUCGUCGGAUCAUUUCCAGGGUCUAAGAAUUCCAAUUGGAGUUAUUGGUAAAAAAUGUUCAGAUGUGGAAAUAAACCACGUAUGUGGUACCAUGUGGAAAGGUUAUCAGCGCAAACGUAAUACUAUGUCAAGGAGUUGAACGUGACCUCGGUGUACAAUCGUGCCCGCAUUCAAUUUCGCCCGUCGGAUAUCUCUCGUCGACACGAAGAAUUCUUACUGGAUUUAUAUAUUUUGUGCAUUUAUUAAAUAAUUCAAACGUGGAAAUAUACCUCGUUUGUUUUCCGAGUGUCCGUAAAAUCUAUUCCGUACUAGUUUGUGAAGAUUAAACAUUCAAGUAAGUGUAACUUGUAACUUAUGUCACUUUUGCAAGUAACGUUGAACACAUGUAGGGGAGGGUGGGGCAAAGUGGGCCCUAAAAGCGAAAAAAGGGAAUUUGUUUACUUUUUUUUACUCGUUACACUAUUUUUUACAUCCUUGU